rnacentral:rRNA from 1 species
AGAGUUUGAUCCUGGCUCAGAACGAACGCUGGCGGCGUGCCUAACACAUGCAAGUCGAACGUGAUUGGAAGCUUGCUUCCAUGAAAGUGGCGCACGGGUGAGUAACGCGUAGAUAAUCUACCUGAUGAUCCGGGAUAACACUUCGAAAGGGGUGCUAAUACCUGAUAAGCCCACGGGGUCUUCGGACUCUGCGGGAAAAGGGGGGGACCUUCGGGCCUUCCGUCAUCAGAUGAGUCUGCGUACCAUUAGCUGGUUGGUAGGGUAACGGCCUACCAAGGCUACGAUGUCUAGGGGUUCUGAGAGGAAGGUCCCCCACACUGGUACUGAGACACGGACCAGACUCCUACGGGAGGCAGCAGUGAGGAAUAUUGGUCAAUGGGCGCGAGCCUGAACCAGCCAUCCCGCGUGCAGGAAGACGGCCCUAUGGGUUGUAAACUGCUUUUGUGCAGGUAGAAUGUGCCCAUCGUGAUGGGUAGUGACGGUACUGCAUGAAUAAGCACCGGCUAACUCCGUGCCAGCAGCCGCGGUAAUACGGAGGGUGCAAGCGUUAUCCGGAUUUAUUGGGUUUAAAGGGUGCGUAGGCGGUAAAAUAAGUCAGUGGUGAAAAGCUGCAGCUCAACUGUAGUCCUGCCAUUGAAACUGUUUUACUUGAGUAACCAUGAGGUAGGCGGAAUGUGUAGUGUAGCGGUGAAAUGCUUAGAUAUUACACAGAACACCGAUUGCGUAGGCAGCUUACUAGAGGUUCACUGACGCUGAUGCACGAAAGCGUGGGGAUCAAACAGGAUUAGAUACCCUGGUAGUCC